rnacentral:rRNA from 1 species
UACGUAGGGUGCGAGCGUUGUCCGGAAUUAUUGGGCGUAAAGAGCUCGUAGGCGGUGUGUCACGUCGGCCGUGAAAACCUGCAGCUUAACUGUGGGCGUGCGGUCGAUACGGGCAUCACUGGAGUUCGGCAGGGGAGACUGGAAUUCCUGGUGUAGCGGUGAAAUGCGCAGAUAUCAGAAGGAACGCCGGUGGCGAAAGCGACUCUCUGGCUCGUAUCUGACGCUGAGACGCGAAAGCGUGGGGAGCGAACAGG